ensembl:lncRNA
AACAGUUUGAAAGGACAGGACUGUUUUGACUUUACGUCUCCUAAAUGAAGAAAACUCCUUCCUCUGUCUGAAAUAUGACAAAUCAGAGUCACUCUCUUAUCUUCUCUGUCCUCAGACUGAGGGCUGAAUGUAUGUUACAGCAGCAAUCGACAUAAGGUCUCAUCUCUGGUCCUCAUCAAGAGCAGAAAUGUUUUUUCAGCAAUGAUAUCAAAUACCUAUUUAAGAUAAGAGAAAGGAUUAUUUAACUCAGUAAUGACUAUUUAAAAUAGAAAAUAUGUCUAUAUUGAAAAAGGAGAUGAUAUAACAUGUGAUGUGGUGCAGAUUUGUAUAAACGUUAUAAAGAGCCAUUCUAAAGAUAAAGUGAGUGACUUAUCUUAGCACCUUUAUUUGAAAUGGAGUAAAGGGAAUAAAUAUAUAACACAGCAUAUGUAUUUUAAUCACAUAGAAGUGGAGUAUGACAUGUUGUAAUCCAGAAGUCUAUGAGAUUUUAUAUUUUAGAAAGAGAUGUUUUUUUUCUGUCAUUUGCACUUCAAAAUGUUCAUAAAGUCGAAUACACGUGUUUCCAGCUAAAACUCCAUCAUGUCCAGUGCUUUGUUAAGUGAUGAUGUUUGUAAAGUAAACAUCUUGAUGUGGAUAAAAACUUUUCCAUCAACUCUGCUAAAAAAUAAAAGUUUAGGAUAAAUCAGAGACGCUCAACAGGAUAACCGAAACAAAUUCAACACAAUUUUGACUUUUUGUGGUUUUAGCGUGGAUGCAAUCUGAAAGGCUAACGCUAAACUGUAAACAUGGUCACAUGACUUUUUCAUGUGAGAAGAUGUUGCGCCGUCUAAUCGUGCUCCCUGUAUUACAGCACAGUCUCACAGCAGCUUAUGAAGUAGUUGCGACCUUUGUGUUCAUGUAUAUGCACCUCGUAUUUUCACAUUUAAAAGGAGAGAAAAAAUCCACAGUUGCACAGAUUGACAGAGUUACAUGGAUGUGAGAGAUUACUGGGGUUGCAGUAGUUGGAGGAAUGGAACAGAUUGCAGAAAUUGGUAGCAGGGAUAUUAGGGGUUGUAGGAAUUGUGAGGGUUGCAGAGAUGGGAGGGAUUGCAAGGGUUGUAACGGCUGCAGGAAUAGGAGAGACUAUGGCACGGACCACAGUGUGCACCAUAACUGGAGAGAAAAUCAUGGUGACCAAUCAGGAACUUUGUAUGGUAGACCCUCCCACAGCCUCUGUCAUCCCAGGCUUCAUCUUUGGGGCCUGGCUGUGGAAACACAGCAAAAAACCAACCAAUUCCCCUUUUAAAUGUAGAGACACUACAUUUGAAUGUGUUUUAUCUGUUUGUUAGUUUUAGGAAGAAGGCAGUAGAUUGCGGCUUCACCGGUAGAUAAAUAAACCAACACCGGUUGUGCUAUCGCCAUCAUCAUGCAGUCAUAAUGUCCUACCAUUGUCUCAUUGAGUUCAGCUCUAACUCUAAAGUGUAUGUUGUGCACAAUAUUUUAUUUGGGACCAAAGACUGUAUCUUUACAUAGCAGUUAUAUAUGUAAGAAAAAGGCAUAUAAUAUUUACAGAGACACUUGUCCUGGUGUUCGUCAUGCUGUUCUGUUUGUGUCUGUGAUGUCUUCUAUUCAGAGCAGUGGGGACGGGAUGUCUCUUAUCUUUAUUGCAACUGUGACGAUGCAGUAGAUAGACGUUACCUCGUUUCUCAUUUCAUGCCUUAACAGAGACGUCUGCAUACAUCGGUUUAUUUAGUCCACUGAGAACCUCAUACCUCCAGGAGUAUCCACUGAAACAGUCCCGCAGUAACGUCAGGUUGUUUUCUGUCUGCCGUGUUCGUGACACUCAGCUGCUUGCUGUGGCCUCCACACUCAAACCUCUCUGUGUGCUGUCAGGUCACAGAAGACAAAACUUUGUGCCAUAACUCACACCAGUGCACUGUGAGUGUUUUAUUGUUGGCUGCUUGUCUUUCUUUUUUCUGUGUCAUGAUUUGUGAAAAAUUAUGUAAUCAUUUUGGUUACGCAGAGACUCAAGUUACGCAGAGGGAAUGAUGCAUUUCUUAAAGGGGGUUGUCGUUGUGUCGUCUAAAUCCACGCAGCUCUGCAAAUUCUUCAUUUGAUGUUUCUAAAUGCAUAUCACACCAAGCCUAGAGUGUAAAGACGCAUCGGCAUAUUUAUUGUUGAGGGUCGCUGGGUUUGUCACUCCCUUUAAAUGUAACAUGUCUGUGUCGAAUGAUGUCUUCUUUGUGCAAAGAUUAAAUAAUAAAGCUUCACUAUAUCAGAAUAUUUCCUAAAUAUCUAAAUAAAUGGAUAUUGUUUACACUGUU